UGGGGAAUAUUGCACAAUGGGCGCAAGCCUGAUGCAGCCAUGCCGCGUGUAUGAAGAAGGCCUUCGGGUUGUAAAGUACUUUCAGUCGGGAGGAAGGUGGUAAGGUUAAUAACCUUAUCAAUUGACGUUACCGACAGAAGAAGCACCGGCUAACUCCGUGCCAGCAGCCGCGGUAAUACGGAGGGUGCAAGCGUUAAUCGGAAUUACUGGGCGUAAAGCGCACGCAGGCGGUUGAUUGAGUCAGAUGUGAAAUCCCCGGGCUUAACCCGGGAAUUGCAUCUGAUACUGGUCAGCUAGAGUCUUGUAGAGGGGGGUAGAAUUCCAUGUGUAGCGGUGAAAUGCGUAGAGAUGUGGAGGAAUACCGGUGGCGAAGGCGGCCCCCUGGACGAAGACUGACGCUCAGGUGCGAAAGCGUGGGGAGCAAACAGG
rnacentral:rRNA from 1 species